rnacentral:rRNA from 1 species
GUGAAGCAUGUGGUUUAAUUAGAAUCAGCGCGAAGAACCUUACCAGGUCUGGACAUAAUCAGACAACCCUAGAGAUAGGGCUUUCCCCUUCGGGGGACAGAGUAACAGGAGGUGCAUGGUGGUCGUCAGUUCGUAUCGUGAGAUGUUGGGUUAAGUCCCGCAACGAGCGCAACCCUUGAUUUUAGUUGCCAGCAUUCAGUUGAGCACUAUAAGGUGACUGCCGGUGACAAACGAGAGGAAGGUGGGGAUGACGUCAAAUCAUCAUGCCCAUUAUGGCAGGGGGGACACACGUGGUACAAUGGAUGGUACAAAGGGUGGCAAAACCGCGAGGUUAAGCGGAUCCCAUAAAACCAUUUUCAGUUCGGAUUGUAGGCUGCAACUCGCCUACAUGAAGGUGGAAUCGUUAGUAAUCGCGGAUCAGCACGCGGCGGUGAAUACGUUCCCGGGCCAGGUACACACCGCCCGUCUCACCACGAGAGUGUGUAUCACCAGAAGUCGGUGGGGUAACCGUAAGGAGCCAGCCGCGUAAGGUGGGACAGAUGAUUGGGGUGAAGUAGUAACAAGG